GUUUGAUAUGUAAGAUAUGAUUUAACAGAGCAGUGAAACAGGAGUUCAGCUCUCUUUUGAAGUUUGGACUUUAUCAGCAAUAGAGAUUUCCAAACCACUGUGUGGACUUUGUCAAUAACUCUGGCGUUAGGAUUGGAACAACCACGUCUGGUUUGCUGGAAUCUAAGUAUGUUUGCCUGUACUCAGACCAGGCUCCUGGAAAUCAUUAUAUUUGCUGUUUCUGCAGUGACUGGAGAGUUUCUCUACUGUUAUUGGUAUUUCUGUCCUUUAGUUUAAGGAGGCUACAGGGGACUGGCUUGAUGAGCAGAAGAAAAGAUCUGUUAACCUAAAAGUUAAAAUUUCCAGAACAACUUGUGCUAUGGUUGAACCUUAUGUGACGUUCAGACUGCUUAUCUGCAUCCACAGGCUUCAAUGCAA
rnacentral:lncRNA from 1 species